GACGAACGCUGGCGGCGUGCUUAACACAUGCAAGUCGAACGGAAAGGCCCUGCUUUUGUGGGGUGCUCGAGUGGCGAACGGGUGAGUAACACGUGAGUAACCUGCCCUUGACUUUGGGAUAACUUCAGGAAACUGGGGCUAAUACCGGAUAGGAGCUCCUGCUGCAUGGUGGGGGUUGGAAAGUUUCGGCGGUUGGGGAUGGACUCGCGGCUUAUCAGCUUGUUGGUGGGGUAGUGGCUUACCAAGGCUUUGACGGGUAGCCGGCCUGAGAGGGUGACCGGCCACAUUGGGACUGAGAUACGGCCCAGACUCCUACGGGAGGCAGCAGUGGGGAAUAUUGCACAAUGGGCGGAAGCCUGAUGCAGCGACGCCGCGUGCGGGAUGACGGCCUUCGGGUUGUAAACCACUUUCGCCUGUGACGAAGCGUGAGUGACGGUAAUGGGUAAAGAAGCACCGGCUAACUACGUG
rnacentral:rRNA from 1 species